UCAAAAUUACUUUCUUUUUUCUUUCUUUUCCUUUCGAGGCCCAUUUCGUUCUCUCUCAACAAUUCCUAAUCAAUUUUCAAACCUUAGAAAGUAUUUAUCCCUUUCGAUCAAGUAAAAUCACGAUCAUUUAAAAAAUGGAGAACCAAAGGCUGAAGCAGCAGCAGCAGGCGUUGAUGGAAUAGGCUCUCUUUCAACAACAAUCUCUUUAUCAUCUAGCUUUUUAGCUGUUGCUCCCCUGGUAAAAUUCAUUUUUCACCAUUAUUAGUAUAUCUCCACCUAGCCAGGCAUUAUGUAAACAAUUGAUGGAAUAUCAAUAUGGUGAAAAAUCAGAAUUAAGGAGUCAUUGUGGACAUAAUUCAUGUAUUGAGAGCAUAAGCAUGGGAGUUCCAAUAACAACUUGGCCGGUGCAUUUAAAUCAACCUAGAAAUGUCGUGCUAAUAACAAAAGUACUGAAAAUCAUUGUGGAAGUACGGAACUGGACACAUAGCAAGUUUCGCUGUCACCUACUGUGGUAGAGAAGGCUGUAAAAAGAUUGAUGGAUUCAACAAGAGGAGAAGAGAUGCAAAAGAGGACAGCAAAAUUAAGAGAUGUCGUAAAGUAAUUUGUGAUGGAAGGUAGUGCCACUCGCAAGGAGAUUGAUUCCUUUAUUGCUCAUAUAACUGGACAACAUCUUUCAUCUGAAAUCUAGAGAUCUUUGAUUAUCAUUGUUGCAAGGUAUAAUCUGUCAUUUUCAAGAAUAUUAAGUUAUUUGAGAAUUUUCCUUUU